GACGAACGCUGGCGGCGUGCUUAACACAUGCAAGUCGAACGGAAAGGCCCUGCUUUUGUGGGGUGCUCGAGUGGCGAACGGGUGAGUAACACGUGAGUAACCUGCCCUUGACUUUGGGAUAACUUCAGGAAACUGGGGCUAAUACCGGAUAGGAGCUCCUGCUGCAUGGUGGGGGUUGGAAAGUUUCGGCGGUUGGGGAUGGACUCGCGGCGUAUCAGCUUGUUGGUGGGGUAGUGGCUUACCAAGGCUUUGACGGGUAGCCGGCCUGAGAGGGUGACCGGCCACAUUGGGACGGAGAUACGGCCCAGACUCCUACGGGAGGCAGCAGUGGGGAAUAUUGCACAAUGGGCGGAAGCCUGAUGCAGCCACGCCGCGUGCGGGAGGACGGCCUUCGGGUUGUAAACCGCUUUCGCCUGUGACGAAGCGUGAGUGACGGUAAUGGGUAAAGAAGCACCGGCUAACUACGUG
rnacentral:rRNA from 1 species